CCCUUAGAUGUUCUGGGCAGCACGCGCGCUACAAUGGUCUUCGCAAACGGAUGCAUUCUCGAAGGAGAAUGCCAAUCUUGGAAUCUAUGCCUUGGUCGGGACAGUUGCUUGCAAUUUUUCGACUCGAACCAGGAAUUCCUUGUAAUUGUAAUUCAUUAUAUUGUAAUGAAUACGUCCCUGCCCUUUGUACACACCGCCCGUCGCUCCUACCGAUUGAACGAUCCGGUGAAUUAUUUGGAGUAGCUCUGGAAGUUGCAGAACUUCCUAUGUCACGAAAUUUUGUAAACCUUAUCGUUUAGAGGAAGGAAAAGUCGUAACA
rnacentral:rRNA from 1 species